rnacentral:rRNA from 1 species
UGUGUUGUUGGGUAGGGGAGCGUUCUGUAAGCCUGUGAAGGUGUACUGUGAGGUAUGCUGGAGGUAUCAGAAGUGCGAAUGCUGACAUAAGUAACGAUAAAGCGGGUGAAAAGCCCGCUCGCCGGAAGACCAAGGGUUCCUGUCCAACGUUAAUCGGGGCAGGGUGAGUCGACCCCUAAGGCGAGGCCGAAAGGCGUAGUCGAUGGGAAACAGGUUAAUAUUCCUGUACUUGGUGUUACUGCGAAGGGGGGACGGAGAAGGCUAUGUUGGCCGGGCGACGGUUGUCCCGGUUUAAGCGUGUAGGCUGGUUUUCCAGGCAAAUCCGGAAAAUCAAGGCUGAGGCGUGAUGACGAGGCACUACGGUGCUGAAGCAACAAAUGCCCUGCUUCCAGGAAAAGCCUCUAAGCAUCAGGUAACAUCAAAUCGUACCCCAAACCGACACAGGUGGUCAGGUAGAGAAUACCAAGGCGCUUGAGAGAACUCGGGUGAAGGAACUAGGCAAAAUGGUGCCGUAACUUCGGGAGAAGGCACGCUGAUAUGUAGGUGAAGUCCCUCGCGGAUGGAGCUGAAAUCAGUCGAAGAUACCAGCUGGCUGCAACUGUUUAUUAAAAACACAGCACUGUGCAAACACGAAAGUGGACGUAUACGGUGUGACGCCUGCCCGGUGCCGGAAGGUUAAUUGAUGGGGUCAGCGCAAGCGAAGCUCUUGAUCGAAGCCCCGGUAAACGGCGGCCGUAACUAUAACGGUCCUAAGGUAGCGAAAUUCCUUGUCGGGUAAGUUCCGACCUGCACGAAUGGCGUAAUGAUGGCCAGGCUGUCUCCACCCGAGACUCAGUGAAAUUGAACUCGCUGUGAAGAUGCAGUGUACCCGCGGCAAGACGGAAAGACCCCGUGAACCUUUACUAUAGCUUGACACUGAACAUUGAGCCUUGAUGUGUAGGAUAGGUGGGAGGCUUAGAAGUGUGGACGCCAGUCUGCAUGGAGCCGACCUUGAAAUACCACCCUUUAAUGUUUGAUGUUCUAACGUUGACCCGUGAUCCGGGUUGCGGACAGUGUCUGGUGGGUAGUUUGACUGGGGCGGUCUCCUCCUAAAGAGUAACGGAGGAGCACGAAGGUUGGCUAAUCCUGGUCGGACAUCAGGAGGUUAGUGCAAUGGCAUAAGCCAGCUUGACUGCGAGCGUGACGGCGCGAGCAGGUGCGAAAGCAGGUCAUAGUGAUCCGGUGGUUCUGAAUGGAAGGGCCAUCGCUCAACGGAUAAAAGGUACUCCGGGGAUAACAGGCUGAUACCGCCCAAGAGUUCAUAUCGACGGCGGUGUUUGGCACCUCGAUGUCGGCUCAUCACAUCCUGGGGCUGAAGUAGGUCCCAAGGGUAUGGCUGUUCGCCAUUUAAAGUGGUACGCGAGCUGGGUUUAGAACGUCGUGAGACAGUUCGGUCCCUAUCUGCCGUGGGCGCUGGAGAACUGAGGGGGGCUGCUCCUAGUACGAGAGGACCGGAGUGGACGCAUCACUGGUGUUCGGGUUGUCAUGCCAAUGGCACUGCCCGGUAGCUAAAUGCGGAAGAGAUAAGUGCUGAAAGCAUCUAAGCACGAAACUUGCCCCGAGAUGAGUUCUCCCUGAC